rnacentral:rRNA from 1 species
GACGAACCGAGCGAACGUUGUUCGGAAUCACUGGGCUUAAAGGGCGCGUAGGCGGGCUGUCGCGUCCGGGGUGAAAUCCCGCGGCUCAACCGCGGAACGGCCUCGGAUACGGGCGGCCUCGAGGGGGGUAGGGGCAUCUGGAACUGUGAGUGGAGCGGUGAAAUGCGUUGAUAUUCACAGGAACUCCGGUGGCGAAGGCGAGGUGCUGGACCCCAUCUGACGCUGAGGCGCGAAAGCCAGGGGGGCAAACGGG